AUUGAACGCUGGCGGCAGGCCUAACACAUGCAAGUCGAACGAGUGGCGGACGGGUGAGUAAUGCCUGGGAAACUGGCUGAUGGAGGGGGAUAACUACUGGAAACGGUAGCUAAUACCGCAUACCAUCGGAUGUGCCCAGAGGGGAUUAGCUAGUUGGUGGGGUAAAGGCUCACCUAGGCGACGAUCCCUAGCUGGUCUGAGAGGAUGACCAGCCACACUGGGACUGAGACACGGCCCAGACUCCUACGGGAGGCAGCAGUGGGGAAUAUUGCGCAAUGGGCGCAAGCCUGACGCAGCCAUGCCGCGUGUAUGAAGAAGGCCUUCGGGUUGUAAAGUACUUUCAGCGGCGAGGCGUUAACCGCAGAAGAAGCACCGGCUAACUCCGUGCCAGCAGCCGCGGUAAUAC
rnacentral:rRNA from 1 species